rnacentral:lncRNA from 1 species
AUUCUACUCCUGCCAGUUCCUUCUUCCUAGUGGGUUCUUAUGGCUCUCUCUUUAUCUUUAAGCAUAAUUAAUUGGUUCAAAGUGUUAAUGCUGCAAUGCAGGCAUGUUGCAAUACGAAGUGGAGUUAAAGCAACUAGAAGGAAGUGUCAGUAACCAAGCUGAGAGAGGCUGGAAGGAAAACAAUUCAUGCAGCAGAAAAGAAAGCCUUUUGAGCACUGUGAUGUCAGAAGGUGACUUGGAAGAUGAUCUAAAUGUUAAACUGGCAGUGAAGAGUGCCACAUCAUUGUUAUUCCCCCAAGAUCCUGGAUUCCAGACAGCCCAGUGGAGCACCAUAGAAAGAACUUUCAGGAAGCAGAGAAUGGUUCAGGGAUUCUGAUUUUCCUGAACUUCCUCCUCCCUAUCCACCUCCAAUUAGGAAAAAAGAAGAAAAAAAAGAUUAAACACGUCCAGAAUGUUAAAAAUCCAGUAGGGAUUUUAAAUGUUCACUAUUACAGCACAUACAUUUAUACACAAGGAGGUCUGAAGGCUUUCUGGUUUCAAUUAAGAUUAUUAUCUCCUUUGAGUGAUGGUUUCUCCUUUUUUCCCCCAGAAUUCCCUUUGGCUGAUCUAUUUUAAAAGAGUAUGAGCUAGGGAUAACUAGGCUUAUUUGUAUUGAGUCUACUUUCCCCUCCAGGUCUCUUUGUCUUAAAUUCUGAAGUCCCUUUUCCUAUCCUGCUAAAGGUUAGCAGCUUGAAAUCAAGGACAUGAGUCAUUGUUACUUUUCAUGUGGAAGAUAAGCUCUGUGGCUUUUAUAGCAAAAAGUAUAUACAAUUCUAAAAUUAAAGUGCAAGUCAGAAAGGCCAUUGGGGCUGUGAAAAGUCCUUAUCUAAAUCAGAAGACCAAGGUCAAGUUUGUAUCAUGCCUAUUAGUACAUGGGUUUCAUUGGUUAAGUUACCAAACCUCUGAGCCUCAGUUUCCUUAUCAGUCAAAUGAGUGCAAUAAUUCCCGCCCUAUCAUCUGACAAAUUAUUGAGAAAUUCUAAUUACAUGCCUAUAAUUUUCAGGUCUUUGUUUUUCAGGUCUUUGUUAAGCAUCAUGCACAUAAACGUUUGUAUUACACUUUCUUUAGCAGUAUUUGAACAUGGUACCUUAUUCAAUGUUCUGAAACAAAUCAUGAAUACUUCCUGGUGUGGUGAUAAUAUCUUCAUAAACUUGUGACACCCGAUGGAAUGUGAGUCGGUUUUGUAAUAGCCUUUAAAAACUUCCCUCAAUACAUAAUAAAGAAUGGUAAAAAAUUUUGGUUGAGGAAACUAAUGAUACAUCCAAAAUAACACAUUCAGUUUUCCAGUGAAGAAUAUUCUCAAAGUAAAAUGCUGUUUAGACUUACUUAAAGGUUCUUAAAACAAGUUAUACAAAGGGAUAGUAUUGAAAUCCAUCUUUUAAUAGAUAUAUACUAGUAAUUAUGUUGAAGACCCAGGAAAAUACUAUUAAUAGGUGUGAAAUUUAAAUCACACUAAUUAGUACUUUAAAAUAUUAUUCCUUCACGUUAUUUUAAAGAAGCUUUUCCUACAUGUGUGACCUAUUCUGUCAAACACAGCCAUGAAUAUCUAGUAUACUAAAUUGGUCCUAUUCUGACUCCAAUUUUCAAACACUUUUAACAUAGGACUAUAGAGUUCAUAUUUACAAAGUGUGUGCAUGCCUAUGUGUAUCACUAAUAUGUAGUAUAUGCAUACUAAAUAUGCACAUGGGUAUUUCAAACUCUGUUGGCUUGACUCUAAAUGUUCAGCUAUCGAUGUUAUUCUUGGUAUUUAGAGGUUUUAUUUAUAUAUUUAUCUUUCUUGACUUUCCCACUGGGAGGUGUCUUCUGAUAUUUCAGCCUCUAGCAUCUCAGUCCCAUACAUUCAGCCCUCACUGGGAAGUUUAAUUCCAGGUUACUAAUUUCAGAGCAUCCCAAAGAUGCUGUUUAGCUAGGUAGUGCCUUAAUAUAUCUUAGAAUUAAAAGAAAAUACUUUCUGUCUCUCAGGGCAUUUGAAAGCUCAAACUCUCCUCUUUGAACUUCCCUCUCUCAUUAUAUUGCCAUCACAAAUCUUUGUCCAUCACUAGGUGGUACAACUCCCCCUCCCCUCACCUGCCUCACACACAUAUGACCUACAGUGGAAAACUGAGCUCCAGAUGGUUCAUGGACUUGCCCAAAGUCACCUGUACCAUUGCUGACUUGGAACUUGAAUGUCCAAGCCUUCUAAAUCCUCAUCUGCAUUUUUCACAUUAGAGAAUUUUGAUCUCUGACUUCCAACAGUUAUUUCAGGAGAGGAAAAUGCAUGGCUUCACUAUCCAAUGGACUAAAAAAUUGAGUAAGGGAUAGAACAUAUUUUACACUCCAACUUGAAAACUUGUCGUAAUGAUGCUCUUCCAGCAUGAAGAAAUUAAAAUUGGCCUUCCUCUUCGUUCUCCUGAAUUGUUCACUGUAACUGAGUGGAGAUAUUUUAGGAGGGUUCUUACUGUGGCUUCUGAAGACCUUUUUCAGAAUAAGGUCUUUUUUUCAAAAACACCACACAAAAUACAAUACAAAAAUACAAUACAAAAAUUUUCAAAAAUACAGUAUUAGUUUGAAGCUUGGUAAGUUUUGACUAUUGCCUAUACCUAUGUAACUGCUACCUAAAACAAGAUAUAGAAAUAUUCUAACUUCCCAGAGAGAUUCUUCAUGCCCCUUUCAUUCAGUGUCAUCCCAGACCCCACAAAGGCAAUUCCUUCUGAUGGUAUGUAUGUAUUCUUUAGUGUCUGAUAUUUUUUAGAUUUAUUUAUAUUGUCAUAUGUAUCAGUAGGCCAUUCAUUUUUGUUGUUGAUGAAUAUUUCAUUGUGUGAAUAUGCUGCAAUUUGUUGAUUCAAAUACCUCCUGAUAGUUGUUUUCCGUUUGGGGCUGUUAAGAAUAAGGCUUCCAUAAACUUUCUUGCCUAAGUCUUGCAUGCAUUGAUGUUUUUAUUUCUCUUGCGUACAUAGCUGGGAUUCAAAUUGUUGGCUUAUAGGUUGUAUCUAUGCUUAGUUUAUUUUUAAAAUUGCCAGAGUUUUUGAAGCCUGCCUCUACAAGCAGUGUGUGAGAAGUUUAGCUACUUCAUUACCUCCAAACCAUUUGGUAUUAUCAGUCUUUUUAUUUAUCUCAAUUGGAAAAUAUUAAAUGGCUUUAUAUUAUGGCUUAAAGUUGCAUUUACCUGGUAACUGAGUGCCUUAUCUUGAGCUUCUUGUCUAUUCAUGCAUUUUUUUGGUGAUUAUGUGUUUAAGUCUUUUGCCCAUUUAAAAUUGGAUUUUUUUUGUUAUGGCUUUAUAGGAAUACAUCAUGUAUUCUGCAUAUAAUUUAUUUAUCCAAUAUUAUAUAUUGAAAAACUUUUCUUCUUGUCUGUAAUUUGCCAGUUUAUUUUGUUAAUGGUGCUUUUUAAUGAGUGUAUCUUUUUAAUUUUGAUGAAGUCUUAUCCUAUUUGUCUUUUAUGAUUAGUGAUUUUUAUUUGUCUAUUUUUGUCUGACCCAAGAUUAAAAAGGUACUUCCUAUAUUUUCUUCUAGAAGUUUCAUGGUUCCAGCUUUCCCAUUUCAGACUCUGUAACAUCUCAAGUUAACUUUUGUGCCUGGAAUGAGUUACAGGUCAAUAAUUACAUUGUUUAUUUGAGAAUCUAACACCAUUGUUUGAAAAUAAUAUCCUUACCUCAUUCAUUUGACUUGGCACCUGAAUAAGUCAUCUUUAAUACUGAGAAAUGGUAUUGCUGGUCUUUCAUGCAUUUUCUGAGACAUGUAGAUGACUUCAUGGAUACUUAAAAUAUUAUGGGUCUAUCACUGUGCCUUUGCACAUAAACUUUUUUCUGCCCAAGAUGCCAUUCUUCUUAUUAUUUUGUGUUUACUACCCAAAACACAGCUUAGUAGUCUCAGACACCUUCGUUAAUUUUUCCCAUAUGGUGCAACUAAAUGCCUCUGUUGGGCACAGUGAAUUGCUCUAUCAAAAUAUUUGUCUUAUGACUUGCUAAUUUUCUCUUUACUUGACUUUCUCCCCAAGCAGACAGUGAUUUACUUGAAAACAGGUCUGCUUUUUUAUCUCUGUAUCUUUAUUACUCAGCACUGUGACAGGAAAAAAAAGAUAGCCACUCAAUUUAUGAUUUUAAUCAAAUUUGAUGGUCCUGAUAUUCCACAGGAGCAAUGUAAGAUAGUAAAAGAAAUCCAUAUACUUUGGAAGGAUAUAAUUUUGAUUUCAAAUAUUGGUUCUGCUACUCACUAGCUGUUUGAAUUGAGGCAAGUUAUUUAAUUUCAAAAUCUUAGUGUAUUAAUCUAUAAUAUGAAGCUGUGUAGAACUUCAUUUGGAAUAUUUACAAUAAAUAAAAGAAAUAGUGUCCAGUACAUACAGUGUAUAGUAGCUGCUAAAUAAAUGGAGUGAGUGUAUUAUUAUUUUAGCAUUAAAAGGGCAAAUGAAAGGCUUGUGUUGAGCUCACUAAUUACCUGCUAUGGUAUCCAGGGACUCUUAAUGACUAAGUAUAAAAUGCCAUGUUAUCUUCUUUUCAUAAACACACAGAGUAACAAUUUGGGUGCAGUAUUCAAGGUAUUGCUUCACAUAGAAUCUGUUCUUUAUCUGUCAAAUCACAACAAAAGCACUGAACCCUAGCAGACAUCAAUUCUUGGAAUCAUAAUAUUACAUCACUGUGGAAAUUAGCCAAGUAAGAAUGUACUCCAAAUUUCAAAGUUGUAACUCUAUAGAUGUCUUGGAGACAUGAUAUAUGAAAGAAUAAAACAUGUCAUAGGAACCCCGGAGAUAUGGUUACAGCUCUAAUUCACAUUAACUUCCAAAGAAGGCACUUUAGCUAUUAGGCAGUUCCACUAAAAGUCAUAUUCCUAGGACUACUCCAGAGAAUUUAUCCUGCUUACCACGCUUUCCUUGGGUUAUACAUUUUGGUCCCAUCCAUCCCACUUAUAGGCACUUGAGAAGCUUAGAGAAUUACAGUAUUUUCUCUUGGAAAUGCUUUUAAGUAGCAUUUUAAAUACAUGAUUUUCCAACAUCCCUCCCACUUAUGGCACCCAUAUAGUACCCAGUGUACAUAUCAUUUCCCUGCUGAUUGGCUUUCAUGUGUUCCAAAUGCUUUUCUAAAUUGACCUGAUACCUAUUAAACCUGAAGUGGACUUUUAAGAUCUGAAGAACAUUUAAUCAAUGGGACAUUAAAGUAAAUAAAUCAUAGCUGAGAGGAGUUCCUUCAAAUGAUAUAAUCUUUAAUGAGCAUUGCACUUGAUUUAAUAAUUUAUUAAAUAUAUAAAAAAUGAUUGGUAAAUUGAACACUUGUCUCAGAGCAAGC